CUUCUUUUCUCUCUCUCACCCUUUUUUGGGUUAACAUUUUUUUUAUGGGUCCAUUGAAUAUGUUGAAUCCAUGUGGACAUCUGGAUUGUAUCUGGGAACUUGGCACAUUUCACUCUCCAUGAAAUGAGAGUACUUCUCCCGAACGUAUUUAAUUUUUAGUGUUACUUUUCAUUCCCCAUAAAAUACUUAAUCUAUAAUAGUCAAUAGAUACAAUACAGGGAAGAAAAGUAAUAUUUUAUUUUACUCUUAUUAAAAUUUAAAAGUCUAAGUCAGUAGUACUAACAUUUGCGCAAUAACUAAAUGAAAUUUGAAAGGCAUAAUUAUAAGCCAAGAUUUACUCUCUCUAUGGUCUUUUGUGCGAUCAACCAGAUGUUGCUUUGAUAGCUAUUGGACUUGCACUAAAGUGCUCUUCUUGAUUGUGUUUUCAAGGUGGCAUUGAGUAUUCUCUUAUUGGUUUUCUUUCUCUCUUCCUUUUUGCCUCAUACCCAUUUCAAAUCUUCAAGAUUGUGAGUAUUUCUUAGCUCUAAGAAUGAGGUAAGGGUAGUGCAAAAACUUAGUUUUUUUUUUCUUUGUUAUUUUCUUCAAGAAAGCUUUUUACUCUUAUAUUGCUCUAGAUAUAUCUAUGAUUCAGGAGCCAUUGUGAGAUUGAAAGCUUUUGGCUUGAUUAGACCACUUAAUGGUUUGCAAAAUCAGUACUUAAAGCCCAAUAUAGUUGGCGCGCAGAUAUUUGCAGAAUUUCAAGUACCAUUUCCACAGGUUCCAACUCGAGAUUGCUACUUCGUAAGAUAUUGUAAACGAAGUGUUGAUGGAACAAGAAAUGCCAAUUGGUUACUCAAAGGUCACCUGGAUUGAGCAUGUAGAGGCAGAUGAUACAGCAAUUUAUAACAUUUACAAGCCUCUUUUAAAUUCUGGCCUUGCAUUCGGGGCAAAGCGUUGGAUUGCUACUUUGGAUAGACAAUGUGAAUGGCUAGCAAGUGCGAUGGCCACAAAUUUACCCGACGAUAACAUGACUAAUAUGAGUAGUAUUAGGAGGUCCAGAGGGAAGAAAGAGUGUGUUGAAGCUAGCAGAGAGAAUGAUAAUUAGCUAUUGUUCUGGAGUUAGUGCUACAACAGCUCAUCAAUGGACAACUCUCUCAGGAAGUGUGGUUCAGAAAAUGAUGUUCGAAUCAUGUUUAGGAAAAGCAUUAAUGUUCCAGGCAGACCUCCUAGCAUUGUCAUGUGCGCUGCUACUUCCUUCUGGCUCCUGAUUUCUUCGAAAACAGUGUUUGAUUUUCUCCAUGAUGAAAACACUAGGACUGAGUGGGAUAUACUAUCCAAUGGAGGUGUUAUUCAGAGAUUGGUUCAUAUUGCUAAUGGCAGGGAAACAGGCAACUCUGUCUCCAUAUUGAGAGUGAAUAUAAGCAAAUAUAAUCUUCACUUUUACUUUCUUUUCCCAUAUUAUGAUUCAUGGGAAAAUUGGGUCGUGACAAAUUAAUAAUUAAUCACUAUAUGGAUUAACUAAUUAGCGCGCAUUCCAAUAUUUGGUUGUUAAUAUGCAGAGUAGUGCAAUCUCAAGCAAAAACAACAUGCAGAUAUUACAAGAGAGCAGUACUGAUGUGAAGACAAGGUCGUCGUUUUUAAUCAUGUCAUAGAUCUCAGUGGUGUUUUAUUACUGCUACACGGGGAGACUUUUGAAGGCUAAAGCUCUAUAUGGUUCUAGCAUACAUAGAUAUAUGUCUAGCGAGAGGAUAAUAGAGAUCAACUCACACAACCCUAUCAUGAAUGAGAUCAAGCAAUUCUACCAUUCAUGGACUGAAUGGUUAUCCUUACUGAUGUAGACAACAAAAUAAGUUAGUUACGAAGAAAAGCUAUGAUAUGUCUAUUGGGGAUUUUUCCUGAUGCUGCUUGUGACUACUUUUCUCAAUUUAGCUUUCAGCUUUAAUUGUCCUACACCUAUAUGAAUAGAAUUAUAUGACUCUAAAAGUUGGCGGAGUUUUGAUGAGGAUCUAGAGAUGCUGAUGUUGUUCCUUUAACUUUUGCUCUCGCGUAAGCACACCUGGAAGUGACUCAACGUUUGAGAUAAUGUAUCUUUGUGCCUUUUCAAAAAAUAAUGUAACUUUGUCAAAAUAACAGUAAGGUUAAUUCUUUGGGAAGAAGUAAAAAGAGAAUAUCAGGAGGAAAAAAAUACAGAAUCAAUUGAUGUGUCUAUUAGUUGGUAAGUAUAAACUCUCGCUUUAGAUCUGAGAGAUCAGCAGGAACUGGCCAAGGCCGAUAUUUUCCAACCUUAAUGCUUACUUUUUGUCAUCGACUCAGGUAGGAUUUGUUUCCUUUUGCUUCGUAUCUAUAGCUGUGCUUAAAUCACCAGAGAUUUAGGUUAGAUUAUUGUUCGCAUGCAUUGGAAUGUUUAAGCUGCAUUGUUCACGGGCCAUAAAAAUCUAGUAUUAUAGAAGAGAAAGACUCUCGACAUGGGUGCUUAAAAGUCAAUAAAUUCUAAAUUAGGGCCUUACAGACAUUUCUCAUUAGCUAAAUGUGUGUCCUUUCAUUAGAAGCUGCAGUUUGAUAUUUACCCAUUAACUACUUACGUGUCCUCUUGUUAGAAUCAUGCCUCUCCACUUUCCCUAAAGCCUACAAUUUCAUUUUUCCAUUUUUGUUUCUAUUUUCCUCUCAUGGUCGAUCAGUUUCUGCUUUCUUCGCCUAUAGAUAAAUCUAUCGCUUAUCAAGUAGCUGGUAUCUCUCUCUCUCCGUCCCACUGUGCUUUUGCCUUUUGCAAUUGAAUUUGUCGUUGUUUUUAUUUCUUAAACCUAAAGUUUCACUGAUUUCAUAUCAAUUUAAAUUCAGUUUCUUUUAUGCACAAUUGGUUGACUUGGUUAAGUUGUGUCGAUUUUCUCAAUUUUGUUAACGGGGUACUUAAUGGGUUUAUGAAAAAUGUUAAUGGGUUUAACAUCGAGAUUUUAAAAUUUAUAUUUUGCAGACUUACUGGGAGAAAAAAGUAUGAAAUGAAGGGGAAAUCUACAAAGUAGUGCAAAUAUUAGCAUGUGCAUUCAGAUUUGGUUCCUUCAAAACCUGAUGUUGAUAUGGAACGGUGCUUUUCUGAUGUUAUGCUAAACAAAAAAAGCUAUUCAUGUAAGUUGUUACUAUAUCUUAUAGUGUGCUCUCAGGAUGUAUGAGAGCAGAUUUUAAUUCACUAUUAGUUGUAUCUGUUAUGAUUAUUUGACAACAAAUACAUGCCUCAUAUGUAUCCUCAAUUACAUUAUAUGCAUUUAGACAUGUCAUAAUUAGUAAGAUAUUUGUAGAUGAUAAUUUUGUUUUUAAUGAUAGAUUUGAAUUGAGAAAGAAAAAGCAGGGAAAGGGAAAAAUUAUAGAACAAAUAUCAGACAAUUCUCAUGGAACGAGUUUUCUAAGUUUUGUAUUUUGACAUAACAAGUUAAGAGGCUAGAAAUAGUUGCAAUAUAUUUAUGGAUUUGUCAAGCAUUUAUAUAACAAUAAACCCCGUAUAAUCCUACGAGUGGGGUCUGGGGAGGGUAGUGUAUAUACAGAUCUUACCCCUACCUUGAGAAGAUAGAGAUGUUGUUUCCAGUACAGCCUCCGUAUUUUGACAUAACAAGUUAAGAGGCUAGAAAUAGUUGCAAUAUAUUUAUGGAUUUGUCAAGCAUUUAUAUAACAAUAAACCCCGUAUAAUCCUACGAGUGGGGUCUGGGGAGGGUAGUGUAUAUACAGAUCUUACCCCUACCUUGAGAAGAUAGAGAUGUUGUUUCCAGUACAGCCUCCGUAUUUUGACAUAACAAGUUAAGAGGCUAGAAAUAGUUGCAAUAUAUUUAUGGAUUUGUCAAGCAUUUAUAUAACAAUAAACCCCGUAUAAUCCUACGAGUGGGGUCUGGGGAGGGUAGUGUAUAUACAGAUCUUACCCCUACCUUGAGAAGAUAGAGAUGUUGUUUCCAGUACAGCCUCCGUAUUUUGACAUAACAAGUUAAGAGGCUAGAAAUAGUUGCAAUAUAUUUAUGGAUUUGUCAAGCAUUUAUAUAACAAUAAACCCCGUAUAAUCCUACGAGUGGGGUCUGGGGAGGGUAGUGUAUAUACAGAUCUUACCCCUACCUUGAGAAGAUAGAGAUGUUGUUUCCAGUACAGCCUCCUCAUUUAUUUUAUCAAAAGAAGAGAAAAAAACUAAUCGAUGCAGAAUCUUUUACUAGGUUCAAUCAAAAAGAAUUUGAGUGGUUUAUCUAAUUCAUUCCUCUAACUAAAAUCAUUGAUUGUUUGGAUACAUGGAGCGGAGAGGUUCCAUUUAAAUAUAUGUUUCUUUUCAGCCUUUACUUUCAUCUUUACCUGCUAAUUAUGAUUUUCUGCUUGAUUAUUUCACUUUCUAUUUGAUAACAUCUCUUUUGCCUUAAAAAAUCUUCUGUUUUAUGCAUUUGAAUGGGCAUUUAUGCAUCUUCUCUCACAGAAAAAGUGCAAGUAGGAUACUACUUUACCUUUCAGGUGACAUCUUGAGAUGUUAAUUAAAGAUUGCAGUGGAAAGAAAGAAGGUCAAUCAGACAUGCAUUUUGGUUAGCUAGAGGAUUGUCCCAUGAUGUCUAUGACUUGGUUGGGCUUUAUGCUGCUAAAAGGGAAAAAAUUUAGAGGAACAUCUAUAGGAAUGGGAUGCUAUAUCAUAAAUCUGCUCGUAUUCGUCCUUGUGAGGUAAGACUCAUUUCUAUUCCUAACUUUUUUAGUUCGCUUCUGACCAGAGAAGCUAACAAAUUAGCGCGAUAAUGGAGUGUCGUGGUUUAUUUGUUGAUAGUUGAUUGUUUACUUCCAACCACUGAGGUAAAUAGUGGUUGAACACUUCCCAUGGGUUUUUAUCUUUUGCACUUACAUGCAUUUAUGAAGUCUGAUAUAACCAUUUGCAUUUGUAAUUUUUCUAACUUAUAUGCCAGAAAAACUAAAAACAGCUCUUUGGCGAAAUGCUAUAAUUUGUUUGAAAUUUUGCUGACAACAAACUAUAAAGUGAUAUUGGAGAGUUUUAAGCUACUAUCUUAAUCUCUUCUAAGUUGGGUUCAUUUUUGGUACAAUGGUUUCUGCAGUUAUCUUAAGUGAAGUCACAUUUUCUAUAGGAUUCUCUGCAUUCUCUAUGAGAAGGUUUCGACGUGUGUGUUUCUGGGAAAAAAAUUCAAAACUGGGGGUAUUUUAGUCUUUUUCACUAAUUGCCUAUUGUGAUUUGACGUGUCUUUUUAAUCGGGAACUGAUUUGCCAAGUUUGAGGUCUUCUCUCAUUUUCUCCAUUGCUCCCUCCGGAUCUCUCUCUAUCCCCUUCGCUCUCUCUCUCUUUUUCUCUCGAUCAUCAUCGUUGUGUGCUCUUCCUCAGAAGCUCCUUGCUUAUUUCUUCUGAUUUGUCUGUUAAAUGGGCUACAUCAGCAAUAGAUGAUGGGGAUCAGGGCUCCCGGCGAGUUCAAUCUGUCUGUCUUCUAUUUAUUUUUUGAAUUCCUGUAGUAAGGCCUUUAACCGCCAACACAAAAGUUUUCACUUCCCUUUCGACCUUGCUCUAAAAUAUUCUAGAUCUUGCUUUAUCUAUGUGUAACCCUUUUCUUGGAGUUCAGUUUUCCCCCUUGUUUUAGGACUCUGCGAGUGCUCAAUAGUGGUACCGAUGUUUGCAGGGUUUUAUGAAUUUGCGGGUGUUUGGAGUUUGCACGGCAGAGAUUGGGCUGAACUAAGUGGUAUUAGGAAACAGUGAUGAAAGGAUUUUUCUUCCGCUAAGUGUCUCCAGAUAAAGAAUUGUCUAUUCGUUAUUUUUUGAUAAGCAUAAAGACUUGUCUUUUCAUUUUUACCCAGUAAAUAAACGCACUAUCAUGUGCUUCAUCCAACAAGUGAUGUCAAAACAGUAAACCCAUAAGAAUUAGCUAUGGAGAAAAUCAAAGAGAACUACUAACUGUAAUAAAAAGUGCAGAGAAAGGCCUUGAAAUAGAGGGGUAGAUAGAAUGUCAAUGAAGCAAAAGAAAGAAGGGUAACUUGGUUGAAGAAUAAAGAGGAUCCGGUGCAGGUAAAAGGUUGGUUUAGUUAAUAAUAACAAACUUGCUUCUCUUACUAUUUGUCAUAUGUUAAGUUGCUUCCAAUACCUCUUUAUGUAUGCUUCGUACAUUUAGAAGUGUAUCAUGUCAUUACAUGACAAAUUGUGUUUAGUGUCGUUGAUUAAAGAUUCUUAUUUACAUACUGAUCUUUGACUUAUAAUCUUAUAUGCACGUGUACUCUGUGAUUGCUUGAGCAUAUCAAAAGGAUUGGACUGCUGGAGUAUACAUGGAAUGGUGAGGGGUGACAUUCUGCAACAGUUUCAAGCAUGACAGAUAUUGUCCGACAUUGUUGUUUCUGCUUAUGAGUUUGGUUUUGCAAUUUGAGUUUAAAUUCUAGAGGCUAUUGCAGUCAUACCCGGUGGGAUGCCGUCCAGUAUAGACUGAAGAGAAGUUUAGAGUAUUGCCAUGGCAAAUGUCUCUUUUAACCAAGAGUACAUAGGAACAACAUUUUGAUAUAUUUAGAUUCACACUUCCUGUACAAUUCUUUGGAGAGUUGUUGCUUUCACAUAGAUAGAAAACAUUUGUACGGUUACCAAGCUAUGAAGUGUGUAUGUCGAAACCCUCCAACGGUAGUGUGCGUGUAUCUUUGGUAUAGAACUAUGAACUGCUUUCAAUACUUACUACUGACAAUCAAACUCAUUCUCAAGCUCA